rnacentral:rRNA from 1 species
CCUACGGGAGGCAGCAGGCGCGAAAACUUCGCAAUGCGCGAAAGCGUGACGAGGCUAGUCCGAGUGCUCUCUGCUAAAGAGGGCUUUUCUCGGCUGUAAAUAGGCCGGGGAAUAAGGGGAGGGCAAGUCUGGUGUCAGCCGCCGCGGUAAA